UGAGGUGGCCCAGUGGGUAGAGCACCUGCCUUGAAGUCAGGAGGACCCGAGUUCAAAUCCGGCCUCA
rnacentral:tRNA from 1 species